ACGGAGCACCCCUGAAGGAGUUUUCGGACAACGGAAGGGAAUGCUUAGUGGCGGACUGGUGAGUAACGCGUGAGGAACCUGCCUUUCAGAGGGGGACAACAGUUGGAAACGACUGCUAAUACCGCAUGACACAUAUUGACCGCAUGGUUGGUAUGUCAAAGAUUUAUCGCUGAAAGAUGGCCUCGCGUCUGAUUAGCUUGUUGGUGAGGUAACGGCCCACCAAGGCGACGAUCAGUAGCCGGACUGAGAGGUUGACCGGCCACAUUGGGACUGAGAUACGGCCCAGACUCCUACGGGAGGCAGCAGUGGGGAAUAUUGGGCAAUGGACGCAAGUCUGACCCAGCAACGCCGCGUGAAGGAAGAAGGCUUUCGGGUUGUAAACUUCUUUGACAGGGGAAGAGCAGAAGACGGUACCCUGAAAACAAGCCACGGCUAACUACGUGCCAGCAGCCGCGGUAAUACGUAGGUGGCAAGCGUUGUCCGGAUUUACUGGGUGUAAAGGGCGUGUAGCCGGGAAGGCAAGUCAGAUGUGAAAUCUGGAGGCUCAACCUCCAAACUGCAUUUGAAACUGUCUUUCUUGAGUAUCGGAGAGGUCAUCGGAAUUCCUUGUGUAGCGGUGAAAUGCGUAGAUAUAAGGAGG
rnacentral:rRNA from 1 species